CCUACGGGAGGCUGCAGUGAGGAAUAUUGGUCAAUGGGCGCGAGCCUGAACCAGCCAAGUAGCGUGAAGGAUGACUGCCCUACGGGUUGUAAACUUCUUUUAUUAAGGAAUAAAGUGAGGCACGUGUGCCUUUUUGUAUGUACUUUAUGAAUAAGAAUAGGCUAACUCCGUGCCAGCAGCCGCGGUAUUACGGAGGAUCCGAGCGUUAUCCGGAUUUAUUGGGUUUAAAGGGUGCGUAGGCGGGCGUAUAAGUUAGAGGUGAAAUCCCGAGGGUCAACUUCGGAAUUGCCUCUGAUACUGGUCGGCGAGAGUGGAGUUGGGGAAGGCGGAAUGUAUGGUGUAGCGGUGAAAUGCUUAGAGAUCAUACAGAACACCGAUUGCGAAGGCAGCUGACCAAGCUACUUCUGACGUUGAGGCACGAAAGCGUGGGGAGCAAACAGGAUUAGAUACCCGGGUAGUC
rnacentral:rRNA from 1 species